AUGAAUAAAAAUAGGGCAAACGCGUUGUUUUCGUAAUUCCGCAAAAAUGAAGACAGCUGCAUUUGUUCUGAUUUUAUAUUUGUGCAACAACAUCGAUGCCUUCUGUCUUCGACGUGAAGCUUGUACUCUACAAUGUAGCCCUAAACCUGUCAGCCUGAUCGAAUGUCCAUCUAAUAUCCAAUAUAAUGCACCAGCUUGCCAAACCUGCAAGACACAAAUCUGCCAAUGUGAAGACACGAACCGCCAGUGCGAUUGUGGGAUUUGUGAUUCCUGCAAAUGCAAGGAACCCAUAAUUUAUUUCCCCGAAGUUGAAUAUCCCGUCAUGUAUGAUUACAAACCAUUUUUCUUUAACACAUGUUGGUCUGUGUAAUUAAAUCUGAAUUUAAAA